AUUUGGUUGGUUGUGAGGUUGUUUUGUUGGUUUUGUUGGGUUUGGGUUUUGUUUGUUUUCUGGUUUGUGGAUUUUAUUUUUUCCUUGGGUUGGUUUUUUUUUUUGUUUGGUUGUGGUUGGGGUUUUUUUGGUGUUCAUUUGUUGGGGUUUUUUUGGUUGGUUUUGGAGGGUUCUCGGCAGCCCCAGGCUGGAAAAUUGAGUCUGGCUUUGAAAAAAAAUAUCAUAGAUCAUUUAGGUUGGAAGGGACCUUAAAAAUCAUCAGGUUCCAACCCCCUGCCAUGAGCAGGGACACCUCCCACUAGACCAGGUUGCACAAAACCUCAUCCAACCUGGCCUUAAAAACCUCCAGGGAUGAUGGGGCAUCAACAACCUCCCUGGGCAACCCAUCCCAGUUCCUCACCACCCUUAGAGUGAAGAAUUUCUUCCUAAUAUCUCACCUAAAUCUCCCCUCUCUCAGUUUAAAACCAUCACCCCUUGUCCUGUCACUAUCUGGUCCCAGCAAGGUUGAUGAGCUGGCUUCAGGAAAAGGCACAAGGGGAGGAGUUCAAAGCAGUUGCAGGAGGUUUUGCCUCUGAAAAGAAAAAUUUCAGGAGCCUUUGCCUCCAAAAAUAACAGUAUCCAGAGCUUUUGCUUCCAAAAUUUACAAUACCCAGAGCCUUUGCUUCCAAAAUUAAGAGUAUCCAGAGCUUUGGCUUCCGAAAUUAAUGGUAUCCCGAGCCUUUGCUUCCAAAACUAAUCAUAUCCAAAGCUUUUGCUUCCAAAAAGUAAGAGUAUCCAGAGCUUUUAUGAAGGGAUAAUCAACCCCCAAGUCCCCUCUGUGGCCCCAGGGGAAGUUGUUUCCUGGUCUAAGGGGGCUUCCCCAUCCCGUUGCAUCCCGAAAGGUGUCGAGCACCGACUGUCAUGAGGUUCCUUGAGUUGCCCCUGCAAAAUUCCUCUUUUCCUCUUGCAAAAUUCCUCUUUUCCUCUUGCAAAAUUCCUCUUUUCCUCUUGCAAAAUUCCUCUUUUCCUCUUGCCCUCACUAGGAAUGGUGGAAAAUCAGGAUUAUCCCUGGAAGUGCUUGAGUUUGUGCUUCCUACUGGGUCAUCCCCGGCACCAGCGACCAGUGCAGGAGGGACACCCUCUGCUACCUACAAUAACCCCAAAUUCCAUAUUUUUCUUUCCAAAAAAACCCCAAAAUAUCUUGCUUGACAGGAAAACCAAGAGAUUUGCCACAGAAAUUUGGAAUUUUAAAGGCUUUUCUCCCUUGGGAGGGUUGUUUUGGGGCACCCAACUGAAACCUCUGGGGACUUUCACCCUCCUGCUGCUCCAUAUCCCAACCCAAGGACUCAGUAUUCCCCCUUUUCUCCAUCCAGGAUAUUUCCCUCCUGCCUCUGCUAAUUUUUCAGGAUCAUUUUGGAACUUAUAAAUAAUUUCAGGAUCAUUUCCUGGAUUCCAGGACCAGCAGCACCUUCUCUCAGCCUGUAUUUUCCCCAUGGCAAAACCCCAUGCAAACCAUCCUGCCUGGAAAUCAUCCCCCUUGACAAGGAGGGGAAAAUAGGGAAUAUGUUUUUCUGGGUAAAAGGGGAUUUGGGGCAGAAAAAAGCUUGGCACGGGGUGGGAAAAACUGGGCAGGGUCACUUGAGGGUUUGUAAGUAGCUGGUGGUAGAAAUGGGAAAGGAAGAGGUUGGGAGAUGCUCAGCUGGUCACUUUUGCUCCCGUUCCACAUUCCUCUUGGGAUGUGCAUCCCUUGGGCCCGGUCAAGAAUCCACUUGAAAUAAUUGUCAGCAAUAUUUUGCCUUUAUCAUUUUGUUCUUCUUUUUCCUCUUCUUUUUUCCUCUUCUUUUGCCCCUCUCUCCAGUGCUCUCUCAAAGCUUCCAGGCCCCAUCCCACCCCCCACGUGGAUAAACAUUCCCAACGUGUGUUAUUUGGCAGUGGGGGUUUUAAUGCCAAGUGAUUAAAACCUUUUGAAAGUCAAAUUUUGGAUGGGGAGGCUGGAAAAUGUUCUCAGCCUCCCUAUUUUUUCCCCCCCAAUUCUCCCCAGUGCCCAAAAGCUCCAGCAAAAAAAUGCUGGAGGUUUCCAGGGCCAAAGAAAUGCAACAAGGAUGGGGAAAAAACCAGAGCAAAUAGGGUUGAAAUAGGAAUAGAAAUUUAAUGGGGAAAAAGCAGAGCAAAUAGGGUUGAAAUAGGAAUAGAAAUUUGAUGGAAAAGGGAGGGGAAGGAUGAAAGAAGGGAAGGAGAAGAGAGGAGAAUUCCAGAAUUGUUCUGGUUGGAAAAGACCUUUAAGAUCAUUGAGUCCAACUAUUAGGAAUGAGCAGGAGCUCUUGAAGAUGAAAAUGCAUUUAAAAAGUAAACCCAAAUUAAAAAUCACUUUGGAAAACAGUGCCUAAAUCCUUCCCACGUGAUUCCAUAGGGGAGAUUUUAGGAAAUCAAACCAUUUCUGCCGAAUUUCUUGCUGCUAAAAACCCAUAAACUUGCUUCAUGUUUUUUUUCCCCAGCAGCUCGAAGCUGGUCCUGCCUGUGGCUCCUGGGGCACCUCUGACAGCAGGUGAAAAUCGCGGCGUUUCAUGAGGUUGGGUGAAAAGAUUCUUAAUUUCUCCCCCUCGUUGCCAUGAAACCCAGAAACUUCAAACCUACCUGAGAGGAGCCUUGGGUCACCCAACCUGAUGUUCUGCUCAAUUUCUGGCUGGUGAAUCUUGGUGAAAGUUCACAGGGAAUUUCCCAGUCAUUAGGACACAAACCCAGGAGUGGGGGCUACAUGGGAGCAAAGACCAGACCCCCAAGAGCCAUGAGAUCUUGGCCAUGAUCUUGGCCAGAAGGACCCUCAGCAGAAGCUCCUCACCAUGGUUGAUCCCACCUGCACCCUCCUCCUCCUGCCAGCAGAGCCUGGAGCACAACGUAGAUCCUCACUGGCACCAGCUGGGGACACCACAGGGACACCAGCAUGGGGACACCAGCACUGGUUUUGGGGAUGGAUGGAGUUGGAGAGGACACCAGGAUGUCCCUGCAUCACCCCUGGUGGGACUCAGGUGAAGAAGAAGAGGCUGGAGGGGAAAAAACCAAAGAACGAGAAGAAAAGAGGAAAAAAAUCUCUCCAGCUGCAGGAAAUGGGUGUGAAUUGCUUCUGAAGGUCUACAAAAAUGAUCCAAUUGAUGUGGGUUUUUUGGGUUUUUUUGGGUUUUUUUUGACAGGCUGUUAGGUUGGGGUUGUUUGGUUUUUAAUUUCAAGUAUUCAUGGCCCAAAAAUCUAAUUGCCAGGGAAA